AAUCUUCCGCAAUGGACGCAAGUCUGACGGAGCAACGCCGCGUGAGUGAAGAAGGCCUUCGGGUCGUAAAACUCUGUUAUCAGGGAAGAAGCCGUUCCGGAGUAACUGCCGGUGCGUUGACGGUACCUGACACGAAAGCCACGGCUACCUACGUGCCAGCAGCCGCGGUAAUACGUAGGGGGCAAGCGUUGUCCGGAAUUAUUGGGCGUAACGCGCGCGCAGGCGGCUUCUUAAGUCUGAUGUGAAAGCCCACGGCUCAACCGUGGAGGGUCAUUGGAAACUGGGAGGCUUGAGUGCAGAAGAGAAGAGCGGGAUUCCACGUGUAGCGGUGAAAUGCGUAGAGAUGUGGAGGAACACCAGUGGCGAAGGCGGCUCUUUGGUCUGUAACUGACGCUGAGGCGCGAAAGCGUGGGGAGCGAACA
rnacentral:rRNA from 1 species